UUUUAAUGUUAUCCUACAGCAUGCAAGAAUAAGAAGUACUUCAUCUCCUACCCAAAGGCAGAAAUUCUUCGGCCCUGGAAAGAAGAAAACACCUAAGCUACUGUCUAAUAACAUCCGAAGAACCAGCAGCAGCAUCUCUAUGGCACAAUGAACAGUGAUGCCUGGGGACAUAUCAUGGCUUCAGCAUUCUGUGUUAGUUGCUUGUCAUCUGUCAAAACGUCUGACCAUCACUCCCUCA